AAGGAUCAUUACCUUUCAUCAGGGGCCUGGCGUAAAUAAUGGGGGCUUGCUCCCUUAUUGGCCUUGCCUUUCUGAUUCUACCCAUGAUUUUUGCGCACUCUUUGUUUCCUCGGCAGGCUUGCUUGCCGAUAGGACCAACUAUAACCCCUUGUAAUUGCAAUCAGCGUCAGUAACAAGUAAAUUAUUACAACUUUCAACAACGGAUCUCUUGGUUCUGGCAUCGAUGAAGAACGCAGCGAAAUGCGAUAAGUAGUGUGAAUUGCAGAAUUCAGUGAAUCAUCGAAUCUUUGAACGCACAUUGCGCCCCUUGGUAUUCCAUGGGGCAUGCCUGUUCGAGCGUCAUUUGUACUCUCAAGCGUAGCUUGGUGUUGGGUGUUUGUCUGUGCCUUUGCGCGCAGACUCGCCUCAAAACAAUUGGCAGCCGGCACAUUGGCCUGGAGCGCAGCACAUUUUGCGCGCCUUGUCUUAGUUGUUGGCAUCCAUCAAGAUCUUUUAGCUCUUGACCUCGGAUCAGGUAGGGAUACCCGCUGAACUUAA
rnacentral:rRNA from 1 species